GAAAAGAAACCAACAGGGAUUGCCCUAGUAACGGCGAGUGAAGCGGCAACAGCUCAAAUUUGAAAUCUGGCGUCUUUGGCGUCCGAGUUGUAAUUUGCAGAGGGCGCUUUGGCAUUGGCAGCGGUCCAAGUUCCUUGGAACAGGACGUCACAGAGGGUGAGAAUCCCGUACGUGGUCGCUAGCCUUUACCGUGUAAAGCCCCUUCGACGAGUCGAGUUGUUUGGGAAUGCAGCUCUAAAUGGGAGGUAAAUUUCUUCUAAAGCUAAAUACUGGCCAGAGACCGAUAGCGCACAAGUAGAGUGAUCGAAAGAUGAAAAGCACUUUGGAAAGAGAGUUAAAAAGCACGUGAAAUUGUUGAAAGGGAAGCGCUUGCAGCCAGACUUGCCUGUAGUUGCUCAUCCGGGUUUUUACCCGGUGCACUCUUCUACGGGCAGGCCAGCAUCAGUUUGGGCGGUUGGAUAAAGGUCUCUGUCAUGUACCUCCUCUCGGGGAGAACUUAUAGGGGAGACGACAUGCAACCAGCCCGGACUGAGGUCCGCGCAUCUGCUAGGAUGCUGGCGUAAUGGCUGUAAGCGGCCCGUCUUGAAACACGGACCAAGGAGUCUAACAUCUAUGCGAGUGUUUGGGUGUCAAGCCCGAGCGCGUAAUGAAAGUGAACGGAGGUGGGAACCUUUCGGGGUGCACCAUCGACCGAUCCUGAUGUCUUCGGAUGGAUUUGAGUAAGAGCAUAGCUGUUGGGACCCGAAAGAUGGUGAACUAUGCUUGAAUAGGGUGAAGCCAGAGGAAACUCUGGUGGAGGCUCGCAGCGGUUCUGACGUGCAAAUCGAUCGUCAAAUUUGGGCAUAGGGGCGAAAGACUAAUCGAACUAUCUAGUAGCUGGUUCCUGCCGA
rnacentral:rRNA from 1 species